rnacentral:tRNA from 1 species
GCUCUGGUGGCUCAAUCGGAUAGAGCGUUAGAUAUCUAAUCCAAAGGUUGCGGGUUCGCGUCCCGCCCAGAGUA